AACGAACGCUGGCGGCAGGCUUAACACAUGCAAGUCGAGCGCCCCGCAAGGUGAGUGGCAGACGGGUGAGUAACACGUGGGGAUCUGCCCAAUGGUACGGAAUAGCUCCGGGAAACUGGAAUUAAUACCGUAUGUGCCCGCAAGGGGAAAGAUUUAUCGCCAUUGGAUGAACCCGCGUCGGAUUAGCUAGUUGGUGUGGUAAAGGCGCACCAAGGCGACGAUCCGUAGCUGGUCUGAGAGGAUGAUCAGCCACACUGGGACUGAGACACGGCCCAGACUCCUACGGGAGGCAGCAGUGGGGAAUAUUGGACAAUGGGCGCAAGCCUGAUCCAGCCAUGCCGCGUGAGUGAUGAAGGCCUUAGGGUUGUAAAGCUCUUUCGCCGACGAAGAUAAUGACGGUAGUCGGAGAAGAAGCCCCGGCUAACUUCGUGCCAGCCGCCGCCGUAACAC
rnacentral:rRNA from 1 species